rnacentral:pre_miRNA from 1 species
CUCUGCUUUCAGCUUCUUUACAGUGUUGCCUUGUGGCAUGGAGUUCAAGCAGCAUUGUACAGGGCUAUCAAAGCACAG